rnacentral:rRNA from 1 species
UACGUAGGGUGCAAGCGUUAAUCGGAAUUACUGGGCGUAAAGCGUGCGCAGGCGGUUGUGCAAGACAGAUGUGAAAUCCCCGGGCUUAACCUGGGAACUGCAUUUGUGACUGCACGGCUAGAGUGCGGCAGAGGGGGAUGGAAUUCCGCGUGUAGCAGUGAAAUGCGUAGAGAUGUGGAGGAAUACCGAUGGCGAAGGCAGCCCCCUGGGAUAACACUGACGCUCAUGCACGAAAGCGUGGGGAGCAAACAGG